ensembl:snoRNA SNORD15 Small nucleolar RNA SNORD15
CUUCGGUGAUGAUACGAUGACGAGUCGGAACAGGACUCAUCCUGGUUCUGCUGGUCGCCGGUUCAGACUCACGUUCUGUGGUUCUGCUCUGGUUCCUCAGAGCAGGGGGUCCUUUCCAGGUGAAGACAUUGAGGCAUUUGUCUGAGAAGG